ensembl:Y_RNA Y_RNA Y RNA
GGCUGGUCCGAGCGUGUGGUGUUUACGACUAAUUGGUCACAACCAGUUACAGAUCUCUUCGUUCCUUCUCCACUCCCCCUGCUUCACUUGACUAGCGUAAA